GCUCGUUGUGAGUGACUUCAACCGAGACCAUCGAGGUAAGUGCAAGGCCCCCAUGUACGGCUGACGGUGGAUGCUGCGAAGGCCAUGGAAGUCUUAAGGAGGGUUUGUAGUGUUGUAGACGUCUUGUUGGAUUCUCUCGGUUAUUAGUUAUUGCAAUUGUCCCUCUAGUUAUCCAUUGUUUAUUUCUAGGUUAGGUUGUCGUUAUUGUUUUCCCCAGGCAUGAGCUGCUUAUAAUAAUGAACGUAUUGUCAGUUUU